ACAUGGAGUAGUUUAAUGGCGGAUCU
rnacentral:piRNA from 1 species